GGCGAAAGAGCGAGUAAAAGCUUCAGAAGACGAAAAUGGAGCGACUCCAUCGAAGCGGCAACACAAAUCAAAAUCCAAAAGAGAAGAUGAAUCUGAAUCCGAACCGGAACGAGAAGUGAGAAAACACCGCAGAAAGAGAAGUCGAAGUUCUAGAAGAAGAUCGCGGGAUGAUUAUGACGAUUCGGAUUCUUCAUCAUCUGGAGAAGAUUCGUAUUCGGACUCUGAAGACUCGUAUUCGGAUUCAGAGUCGGGUAGUAGUUCGGAGUAUUCGGAUUCGGAAGAGGAGAGGAGGCGUAGAAAGAGGAGAGAUAGGAAGAGAAGAGA
rnacentral:misc_RNA from 1 species